GGCUGUCUCAAUAUAGGGCUGCAUUAAUCAAAUUGAUAUGACGUCUCACCAUUGACUUUAUUUGUUCUUUUCAUUAUGAUUAAUGGGAAGAAGCAUUAUGAUAGUCAUCAAGGUAUAUGGCAAAAUUAGAACAUUGUUAUAAAGGAAAUUUCUAAUGAAAUAAUAAACAAAAAGGUCACUUUUUACCUACCUGAUCAUGUACACCCUGGUAGGCAGAAUGCCAGGCCAGCCUCUGAUUCCAGGCUGGUCCCAAACCUCUGACCCCAAGGGAACAGCCUGGCUCCAUCCAUGCCCUGUGUCUCAGGUGCCUUUCUUAUUCCCAUGAGCUGGCUCAUCUGACAGUCAGUAGAUAUCUAUUAAGUCCCUACUGUGUGCCAGGCAUUCUUUUAGGUGCUAGGGAACUCAGCAGCAGUUGGACACAGCCCCUGCUCUCACUCAGUAGGUCUAGUGGGGGUACAAAUAGAGAAAUAAGAAAACUGAUCCUGGGAACUCCGUCAGGUCAGAGGCCCUGAGACGGUUUCUGGACACUGAGGACCCAAGGAUGAGCCGGACAUCUCCAGGCAGAGGGAACAGCGUGAGCAAAUGGCCUGUGUGUGUGUGUGCGUGCAUGCAUCGUGUGUGUUAGUCGCUCAGUUGUGCCAGACUCUUUGCGAGCCCAUGGACUAUAGCCCGUCAGGCUCCUCUGCCCAUGGCAUUCUCCAGGCAACUGGAGUGGGUUGCUAUUUCCUUCUCCAGGGGAUCUUCUUGAACCAGGGGUCAAAUCCAGGUCUCCCACAUUACCACCAGAUCCUUUACCAUCUGAGCCGCCAGGGAAGCCCAAGCGAAUGGCCUACUACCCAGCAAAUACCUGCCCCACAAAUGUGUGGAUUCAAACCCCUUGCGGAGUCUCUGGGUUACAGAAGCAGAGCUGGUCGCUUCCAAAGCUUCUGUGUGCCUCUCUCCUGAGGCUGGCGCUGCAUCGUGACUUGGCAAGGACAGGAGCUGAGCUGGAGGGAGUCCCGGGGAAGGUGCAGGGAGACCUGUCCCCCAGAGGGGAGCAGACUCAAGAUCUGGAGACUGGAGACGGUCCACUCGAGAGCGUGGACCCUCCCUAACCUCGUUAUCACGAACCCUUUCAAACCAUUACAUUCAAUUACAGGAACGCAGCCGGGAGGUUAAUACAAGCACACGGAUUGCUGAACAGUUAAUGAAAUCACAAUAAAAGAAUUCAAUGGCCACAAUCAAUUAUGAAUGUUAAAUCU
rnacentral:lncRNA from 1 species